AUUGAUAGAAAGUGUGUAUGUCACAGGAUCUUGAGCCGGAACAUUUCGUGUGCUUCAAAUAAAUAUUUAUAACAAUGUUCACAAAUCGCAUAAAAAAUUCUACCGGCGAAAUGAAUAACAGGAAAAAACAGAUCGUUCCCUGAGAGACAAUAGUUGCAAACACAAGGCAACCAGAAAAACGAUAGAACCAUGUCGGGCCAAUGUUCGGAUAAUUGUAGGGGUGGAUUCGCAUUUAUUACAAGAAACUUUUAGUAUCAACUGGCACCGUGUUCGUCCGCGAAUCGAAUGACUGUCGUUUUUCAAAGUCUUCGUUACCCGUUUCUUCGUCGCUACUCGUUGUCUAUUCCGAUCAAUGUUGCAUGUUACUGUCCGUACGUUCGUCCACUUCUAGUCUGUCAUUUGUUCGUUCCCACAUAAAUACAUACAAAAAUGAGUUUUUGUUA